ACGCUAGCGACAGGCUUAACACAUGCAAGUCGAGGGGCAGCGGGGGUAGCGAUACCCGCCGGCGACCGGCGCACGGGUGAGUAACGCGUAUGCAACUUGCCUAUCAGAGGGGGAUAACCCGGCGAAAGUCGGACUAAUACCGCAUGAAGCAGGGGCCCCGCAUGGGGGUAUUUGCUAAAGAUUCAUCGCUGAUAGAUAGGCAUGCGUUCCAUUAGGCAGUUGGCGGGGUAACGGCCCACCAAACCGACGAUGGAUAGGGGUUCUGAGAGGAAGGUCCCCACAUUGGUACUGAGACACGGACCAAACUCCUACGGGAGGCAGCAGUGAGGAAUAUUGGUCAAUGGCCGAGAGGCUGAACCAGCCAAGUCGCGUGAGGGAUGAAGGUUCUAUGGAUCGUAAACCUCUUUUAUAAGGGAAUAAAGUGCGGGACGUGUCCCGUUUUGUAUGUACCUUAUGAAUAAGGAUCGGCUAACUCCGUGCCAGCAGCCGCGGUAAUACGGAGGAUCCGAGCGUUAUCCGGAUUUAUUGGGUUUAAAGGGUGCGUAGGCGGCCUUUUAAGUCAGCGGUGAAAGUCUGUGGCUCAACCAUAGAAUUGCCGUUGAAACUGGGGGGCUUGAGUAUGUUUGAGGCAGGCGGAAUGCGUGGUGUAGCGGUGAAAUGCUUAGAUAUCACGCAGAACCCCGAUUGCGAAGGCAGCCUGCCAAGCCAUGACUGACGCUGAUGCACGAAAGCGUGGGGAUCAAACAGGAUUAGAUACCCUGGUAGUCCACGCAGUAAACGAUGAUCACUAGCUGUUUGCGAUACAUUGUAAGCGGCACAGCGAAAGCGUUAAGUGAUCCACCUGGGGAGUACGCCGGCAACGGUGAAACUCAAAGGAAUUGACGGGGGCCCGCACAAGCGGAGGAACAUGUGGUUUAAUUCGAUGAUACGCGAGGAACCUUACCCGGGUUUGAACGCAUUCGGACCGAGGUGGAAACACCUUUUCUAGCAAUAGCCGUUUGCGAGGUGCUGCAUGGUUGUCGUCAGCUCGUGCCGUGAGGUGUCGGCUUAAGUGCCAUAACGAGCGCAACCCUUGCCACUAGUUACUAACAGGUAAAGCUGAGGACUCUGGUGGGACUGCCAGCGUAAGCUGCGAGGAAGGCGGGGAUGACGUCAAAUCAGCACGGCCCUUACAUCCGGGGCGACACACGUGUUACAAUGGCGUGGACAAAGGGAAGCCACCUGGCGACAGGGAGCGAAUCCCCAAACCACGUCUCAGUUCGGAUCGGAGUCUGCAACCCGACUCCGUGAAGCUGGAUUCGCUAGUAAUCGCGCAUCAGCCAUGGCGCGGUGAAUACGUUCCCGGGCCUUGUACACACCGCCCGUCAAGCCAUGGGAGCCGGGGGUACCUGAAGUCCGUAACCGAAAGGAUCGGCCUAGGGUAAAACUGGUGACUGG
rnacentral:rRNA from 1 species